AACCUAGCACACCUGCGGUGUGUACCUGCGGAGGGAUCAUUAAUAAAUGUUACUUCGGUAACUUAAUUAAUCCCUAACACCUGUGCAUCUUGUCGCUCCGGCGUCAUUUUAUAAACAUCAGUGUAAUGAAUGUAAAGUAUUAUAACAAAUACAACUUUCAACAACGGAUCU
rnacentral:misc_RNA from 1 species